rnacentral:rRNA from 1 species
CUUGGUCAUUUAGAGGAAGUAAAAGUCGUAACAAGGUCUCCGUAGGUGAACCUGCGGAGGGAUCAUUACAAGUGACCCCGGUCUAACCACCGGGAUGUUCAUAACCCUUUGUUGUCCGACUCUGUUGCCUCCGGGGCGACCCUGCCUUCGGGCGGGGGCUCCGGGUGGACACUUCAAACUCUUGCGUAACUUUGCAGUCUGAGUAAACUUAAUUAAUAAAUUAAAACUUUUAACAACGGAUCUCUUGGUUCUGGCAUCGAUAAGAACGCAGCCCCCCCGUGCCCCCGCCCCGCCCGCCGCGCGCGGCGGGCCGA